rnacentral:lncRNA from 1 species
CUGUUUGUUUUUGUUAUAAUUCUCUAAUUGAUAAAUGAAUAAUGAUAGACCAUAGUUCAUAUGUAUUUACAGUACAUUUUAAAAUUUGAAUAAAAUAUAAAUUCUAAAAAUGAAUUUACUCUCGCAAACAUUUUGUAUGUAGCAUACCGGGGGCAAUAGUAUGUUUCAAGGAAUAAAUACUAGAAUAUCUGGAAGUGCGUUUUAAACCGGCCAGCGUUUUUUUAUGCCAAAACAGAGGUGAACUAAUAAAUAAUCUUUCGUGUACUUAUUCUUAUUGUCUAUUGAAUAAGAAUGAGAGCUAUUCAUAACUUUAGAAUAAAAAGGAAUUGCCAAUAAUUGUUUCUGGAAUAUCAUUCUGAUAUCUGAAUUAAUUGGACAAUGGAGCUUUUAUUGUUUUUUGAAGUGAAUAUUCAUCAUGGUUUUCGAGUGUUUUGCUCCUGGCUGCAAUUAUGGCUGUCCUAGUUCUUUCUAAGGACUCUGAUGUGAUUCUUCAUGAUAAGAUGAUAGUGGCUUAGGGCAUGCCAAGAGAUACAAAAUAUUAGACACCAACAAAAAGUUCAAGGUUAUGCAGUCAAUACUUCACAGCAAAUGACUUCAUUACCUUAUCUGUUGAUAGAAGACGCCAGGAAAGGAGAUUACUCCAGCUAAGACGCCUAAAAAGGGAUGCUAUACCAUCUAAAUGGUCAAAUCUCCCAAGCUAUCUUUUAUCAACGCCAUCAACCUCCAGAUCAACGAGAGCAUCCACUAACAACCAGAAACUUCAGUUUAAAACUAUUAGAUAUGAAUUAUUGGAGAAAGAAAUGUUUAAUAAAGAGAUUGUUCGGUCCGCUAAACAUCUCUAUGACAAGCUUUCUUCUGAAUCAUUGCCCUCUGGAUUAUAGUUAUUGAAAACUCCAAAGGUUUCUCUAGUCAAAAUAAUCCAUUCAGAUGUAGAGGCUUAGAUAUUGUAGCUAGCCUCGAAGUGGAAGAUGACCUCUCAUUUAAAGUGUUACACAAUCAUGUACAAUUAAAAACGAACUCUGUGUCAUAUUGCCUAAGAUUUCCUGGUAAAAUAUAAUCUACAGCAGAAGCCA